ACCAGGAUGGCCGAGUGGUGAAGGCGUUGGACUUAAGAUCCAGUGGAGACUGUCCUCGUGGGUUCGAACCCCAUUCCUGGUA